rnacentral:rRNA from 1 species
UAAGGUCAAGCUACAAAGGGCGCAUGGUGAAUGCCUUGGCACUAGGAGCCGAAGAAGGACGCGAUAAGCUGCGAUAAGCCUUGGGUAGCCGCAAAUAGGCUGAGAUCCAGGGAUUUCCGAAUGAGGAAACUCACAUGGGUAACCCCAUGUAUCAUGCACUGAAUACAUAGGUGUAUGAGGGUAAACCCGGGGAACUGAAACAUCUAAGUACCCGGAGGAAGAGAAAGAAAAAUCGAUUUCCUAAGUAGCGGCGAGCGAACGGGAAAGAGCCCAAACCAGAAACUUGUUUCUGGGGUUGUGGAUAGAUCAUAAAAGAAGAGGUAUCUUAAUCGAAGAGGGCUGGAACGCCCUACCAUAGAAGGUAAUAGUCCUGUAGGUAAAAAGAGAAAACUUCGAGAUCUAAUCCAGAGUACCACGAGACACGUGAAACCUUGUGGGAAGCAGGGAGGACCACCUCCCAAGGCUAAAUACUACCUAGUGACCGAUAGUGAAGCAGUACCGUGAGGGAAAGGUGAAAAGAACCCCGGAAGGGGAGUGAAAUAGAACCUGAAACCGUGUGCCUACAACCGAUCGGAGCACGUUAAAGUGUGACGAUGUGCUUUUUGUAGAACGAGCCAGCGAGUUACGCUAUGUAGCAAGGUUAAGUACUUAAGGUAUGGAGCCGAAGGGAAACCGAGUCUGAAAAGGGCGAAAAGUUGCAUGGUGUAGACCCGAAACCGGGUGACCUAUCCAUGGCCAGGUUGAAGCGAGAGUAAAAUCUCGUGGAGGACCGAACCACGUUGGUGUUGAAAAACCAUGGGAUGAGCUGUGGAUAGCGGAGAAAUUCCAAUCGAACUCGGAGAUAGCUGGUUCUCCUCGAAAUAGCUUUAGGGCUAGCGUCGUGUAAUUGAGUAAUGGAGGUAGAGCACUGAAUGGGCUAGGGGCUAUAGUAGUUACCGAACCCUAUCAAACUCCGAAUGCCAUAUACUUGUAUCACGGCAGUCAGACUGCGAAUGAUAAGAUCCGUAGUCAAAAGGGAAACAGCCCAGACCAUCAGCUAAGGUCCCAAAGUGUAAGUUAAGUGGAAAAGGAUGUGGGAUUUCUAAGACAACUAGGAUGUUGGCUUAGAAGCAGCCACUCAUUUAAAGAGUGCGUAAUAGCUCACUAGUCAAGAGAUCCUGCGCCGAAGAUGUCCGGGGCUCAAACUUACCACCGAAGCUAUGGGUGUACACUACGUGUACGCGGUAGGGGAGCUUUCUGUAUGGGUUGAAGUCGUACCGUAAGGAGCGGUGGACUGUACAGAAGUGAGAAUGCUGGCAUAAGUAGCGAGAAAUAAGUGAGAAUCUUAUUGGCCGAAAACCUAAGGUUUCCUGAGGAAGGUUCGUCCGCUCAGGGUUAGUCGGGACCUAAGCCGAGGCCGAAAGGCGUAGGUGAUGGACAAUCGGUUGAUAUUCCGAUACCACCUAUUUACGUUUGAGAAAUGGGGUGACGCAGUAGGAUAAGAUGUGCGCACUAUUGGAUGUGCGUCUAAGCACUUAGGCAUGCUUGAUAGGCAAAUCCGUCGAGCUAAGCUGAGGUGUGAUGGGGAGCCAUUUAUGGCGAAGUAUCUGAUUCCACACUGCCAAGAAAAGCCUCUAUCGAGUGAAUAGGUGCCCGUACCGCAAACCGACACAGGUAGGUGAGGAGAGAAUCCUAAGGCCAUCGGAAGAAUUGCUGUUAAGGAACUCGGCAAAUUGACCCCGUAACUUCGGGAGAAGGGGUGCCUACGAAAGUAGGCCGCAGAGAAUAGGCCCAAGCAACUGUUUAGCAAAAACACAGGUCUCUGCUAAAGCGAAAGCUGAUGUAUAGGGGCUGACGCCUGCCCGGUGCUGGAAGGUUAAGGGGAACACUUAGCGUAAGCGAAGGUGUGAACUUAAGCCCCAGUAAACGGCGGCCGUAACUAUAACGGUCCUAAGGUAGCGAAAUUCCUUGUCGGGUAAGUUCCGACCCGCACGAAUGGCGUAAUGAUUUGGGCACUGUCUCAACAGCAAAUCCGGCGAAAUUGUAGUGCAAGUGAAGAUGCUUGCUACCCGCGAUUGGACGGAAAGACCCCGUAGAGCUUUACUGUAGCUUAGCAUUGAAUCUCGGUAUUGUCUGUACAGGAUAGGUGGGAGACUUGGAAACUUGGGCGUCAGCCUGAGUGGAGUCAUCCUUGGGAUACCACCCUGACAGUACUGGGGUUCUAACCGGCGGCCAUGAAUCUGGUCACGGGACAUUGUUAGGUGGGCAGUUUGACUGGGGCGGUCGCCUCCUAAAAAGUAACGGAGGCGCCCAAAAGUUCCCUCAGCGCGGUCGGAAAUCGCGCGAAGAGUGCAAAGGCAGAAGGGAGCUUGACUGCGACACAUACAGGUGGAGCAGGGACGAAAGUCGGGCUUAGUGAUCCGGUGGUACCUCGUGGGAGGGCCAUCGCUCAACGGAUAAAAGCUACCUCGGGGAUAACAGGCUGAUCUCCCCCAAGAGUCCACAUCGACGGGGAGGUUUGGCACCUCGAUGUCGGCUCGUCGCAUCCUGGGGCUGGAGUAGGUCCCAAGGGUUGGGCUGUUCGCCCAUUAAAGCGGCACGCGAGCUGGGUUCAGAACGUCGUGAGACAGUUCGGUCCCUAUCCGUCGCGGGCGUAGGAAAUUUGAGAGGAGCUGUCCUUAGUACGAGAGGACCGGGAUGGACCAACCUCUGGUGCACCAGUUGUCACGCCAGUGGCACAGCUGGGUAGCUAUGUUGGGACUGGAUAAACGCUGAAAGCAUCUAAGCGUGAAGCCAACCUCAAGAUGAGAUUUCCCAUAGCGUAAGCUAGUAAGACUCCUGGAAGAACACCAGGUUGAUAGGUCAGAGAUGUAAGCAUGGCAACAUGUUAAGUUGACUGAUACUAAUAAGUCGAGGGCUUGACCAAAUAA